UACGUAGGGGGCUAGCGUUGUCCGGAUUUAUUGGGCGUAAAGAGCGUGUAGGCGGCCAGGUAGGUCUGGUGUGAAAACUCGAGGCUUAACCUCGAGAUGUCAUCGGAAACCAUUUGGCUAGAGUCCGGAAGAGGAGAGUGGAAUUCCUGGUGUAGCGGUGAAAUGCCCAGAUAUCAGGAAGAACACCAAUGGCGAACGCAGCUCUCUGGGACGGUACUGACGCUGAGACGCGAAAGCGUGGGGAGCGAACAGG
rnacentral:rRNA from 1 species